rnacentral:lncRNA from 1 species
GGAGAUGGAGGAGCUCCGGUGGGAAUCUGGGAAUGCUGGGAGUGCUGGGAAUGGUUAUUGGGAAUUCCGGGAAUGUCUGGUGUGAGUGUUGGGAAUGUCUGGUGGGAAUGUUUGUUGGGAAUGUUUGGUGGGGCACUGGAUGGAGCUGCAGGAGCAGAGGAAGGAGCAGCGGUGGAGAAAGGAGAUGGAGGAGCUCCGGUGGGAAUCUGGGAAUGCUGGGAGUGCUGGAAAUGGCUAUUGGGAAUUCUGGGAAUGUCUGGUGGGAAUGUUUGGUGGUGGCACCGCAUGGAGCUGCAGGAGCAGUGGCGGAAAAAGGAGAUGGAGGAGCUCCGGUGGGAAUCUGGGAAUGCUGGGAAUGGUUAUUGGGAAUUCCGGGAAUGUCUGGUGUGAGUGUUGGGAAUGUUUGGUGGGAAUGUUUGUUGGGAAUGUUUGGUGACGGCACUGGAUGGAGCUGCAGGAGCAGCGCAAGGAGCUCCGCAGGAAAAAGGAGAUGGAGGAGCUCCGGAGCUACUCGUCGCUGAUGAAGGCCGAGAACAUGUCCUCCAACCAGGUGGGCGGGGAGACCCCGGAAUUCCGGGAAUUCCUCGGGAAAGGGGGGCGGGAGAGCUCUGGGAAUUCCUCGGGAAAGGGGUGGGGAAAAUGGGAAUGACGGGAGAUACGGGAAUAACGGGGUUAAUGGGAUGGAGGGGGAUGGGAAUGAUGGGAAAUUUGGGAAUCGUGGGAACGGGAAUCAUGGGAAUGUGAUCUGGAAUAACGGGAUUAAUGGGAAUAGUGGGGUUUGGAAUAAUGGCAGUGGGA